rnacentral:rRNA from 1 species
GCGCACUGGUGAGUAACACGUGGGAACGUACCUUUUGGUGGGGGACAACAUCUGGAAACGGAUGCUAAUACCGCAUAAGACCUGAGGGUGAAAGAUUUAUCGCCGAAAGAACGGCCCGCGGAAGAUUAGGCAGUUGGUGGGGUAAAGGCCUACCAAACCCACGAUCUAUAGCUGGUCUGAGAGGACGAUCAGCCACACUGGAACUGAGACACGGUCCAGACUCCUACGGGAGGCAGCAGUGAGGAAUAUUGGGCAAUGGAGGCAACUCUGACCCAGCCAUGCCGCGUGAGUGAAGAAGGUUUUCGGAUUGUAAAGCUCUUUCGGAUGUGACGAUGAUGACGGUAGCAUCUAAAGAAGCCCCGGCUAACUUCGUGCCAGCAGCCGCGGUAAUACGAAGGGGGCGAGCGUUGUUCGGAAUUACUGGGCGUAAAGGGUGUGUAGGCGGUUAUGUAAGAUAGCGGUGAAAUCCCGGGGCUUAACCUCGGAAUAGCCGUUAUAACUAUGUAGCUAGAGUUAUGGAGAGGAUAGCGGAAUACCCAGUGUAGAGGUGAAAUUCGUAGAUAUUGGGUAGAACACCGGUGGCGAAGGCGGCUAUCUGGCCAUAUACUGA